UAUUCCACUGGAUGGCUCAGUUGGUUAGAGUGUAGUGCUGAUGACACCUAGUUUGCAGGUUCGAUCCCCAUAAGGAAUAG